GAAGAGAAAAACCGAUAACCAAUCAAAAGAGACAAACACUGAGGAUGCUGUCGAACCAAACGACACAGUGUUGCUCAUCGCCGACGAGUGCACGCUCUGUUUCCACUGCAAAAAGAAUUUGUUGGAAGGAGAGACACUUUACAAGCCGAAAGACACAGAGGAGUUUUUUUGCUCCAUGGCCUGCUUACAUGAAAAGCGUUGCGAGAUCAAAAUACCCAUCAAAAAGUGCCACAACUGCUUUCAGGUGAUUGCGCGACCUCAAAACAUCAUCCUGGCUCCGGUGGAUGAUUCGGGAACUAUGAAGGAGUUGUGCAGCGAUACAUGUCUCUCCUCCGUCACAUCCAAAAUGAAAAAGGCUGCUACUAAGC